rnacentral:rRNA from 1 species
GAUGAACGCUAGCGGCAGGCUUAACACAUGCAAGUCGAGGGGCAGCACGGGUAGCAAUACCUGGUGGCGACCGGCGCAAGGGUGCGUAACGCGUGAGCAACAUGCCCUAUACAGGGGGAUAAUCCAGGGAAACUUGGUCUAAUAUCCCAUAGUAUUUAGAGGAGGCAUCUUCUAUAAAUUAAAGCUUCGGUGGUAUAGGAUUGGCUCGCGUGACAUUAGCUAGAUGGUGAGGUAACGGCUCACCAUGGCAAUGAUGUCUAGGGGUUCUGAGAGGAAGGCCCCCCACACUGGGACUGAGACACGGCCCAGACUCCUACGGGAGGCAGCAGUGAGGAAUAUUGGACAAUGGAUGGAAAUCUGAUCCAGCCAUGCCGCGUGCAGGAAGACAGCCCUAUGGGUUGUAAACUGCUUUUAUAUGGGAGCAAUAAGGUCUACGUGUAGACUGAUGAGAGUACCAUAUGAAUAG